AACCUACCUAUCGUUGCUUCGGCGGACUCGCCCCAGCCCGGACGCGGACUGGACCAGCGGCCCGCCGGGGACCUCAAACUCUUGUAUUCCAGCAUCUUCUGAAUACGCCGCAAGGCAAAACAAAUGAAUCAAAACUUUCAACAACGGAUCUCUUGGCUCUGGCAUCGAUGAAGAACGCAGCGAAACGCGAUAAGUAAUGUGAAUUGCAGAAUCCAGUGAAUCAUCGAAUCUUUGAACGCACAUUGCGCCCGCCAGCAUUCUGGCGGGCAUGCCUGUUCGAGCGUCAUUUCAACCCUCGACCUCCCCUUGGGGAGGUCGGCGUUGGGGACCGGCAGCACACCGCCGGCCCUGAAAUGGAGUGGCGGCCCGUCCGCGGCGACCUCUGCGCAGUAAUACAGCUCGCACCGGAACCCCGACGCGGCCACGCCGUAAAACACCCAACUUCUGAACGUUGACCUCGAAUCAGGUAGGACUACCCGCUGAACUUAAGCAUAU
rnacentral:rRNA from 1 species